rnacentral:lncRNA from 1 species
UCCCUUUCUCCUAAGUCCCCAAAGUCCAAUGUAUCAUUCUUAUGCCUUUGCAUCCUCACAGCUUAGCUCUCACUUAUGAGUAAGAAAAUAUGAUGUUUGGUUUUCAAUUCCUGAGUUACUUCACUUAGAAUAACAGUCUCCAAUUCCAUCCAGGUUGCUGCAAAUGCCAUUAUUUUGUUCGUUUUUAUGGCUGAAUAGUAUUCCAUGGUAUAUGUAUAUAUACAACAAUUUCUUUAUCCACUUUCUGAAAGCAGAUUUUCAGUAGCAACGGUGGAAGCCAGCAAAGCAGUGAUAUGAUAUCUGUGAUAUACUGAAAAAAUAAUGUACCAGCCUAGAAUUGAAUACCAAGUAAAAAUAUCUCUCAAGAAUAAGGACAAAAUAAAUGUUCCAGAUAAAUAAAAAUUGUUAGUUCAUUACUAAAAAAACCUCCUAAAGGAAAUGAUGGAGGAUAUACUUGAGGCAAAAAGAAAGUAAUCCCAUAUAACAUGUUUGAGACACAGAAGGAGUGAAGAGCAAAGAACGUGGUAAAUGCAAAUAAACUGACAAUUUAAGAUCACAAUUAGUAAUGUUUAGUUGUGUGUUAAAAAUUGAAUUAAAAUAAAUAAAAAGUAAUAAUUUAUAAGUAGAUAAGGGGGAGUGGAAUUUAAGUAUUCCAAGGUUUUUGUAUUGGUUGGGAAAAGAUACAGAUAUUG